rnacentral:pre_miRNA from 1 species
CAACUACUCCCUCCAUUUGGAAUUACUUGUCGCAGAAAUGGAUGUAUCUAGACGUAUUUUAGUUCUAGAUACAUCCAUUUUCGCGACAAGUAAUUCCGAACGGAGGGAGUACCUG